AUAAUGCACGAAAAAUUGCAUGUUUAGACAUGCAGAUACACGUUUAUGGGAUAGAGAUGAACAAGUAACUGAGUUCUGCGCAACAUUAAACUAUAUAUUUGUCACAUGAUGGGUCAAUGGAAUCGACAGGCAAGGAAACCGAAGUUAUUUCACUUCAUAUUUGCCUUGAAAGACUUUGAAAAAGGCAGCAAGAAGAAAAAAUGUGAACAGAACCUUGGCAUAAAAAUAGUACUACUACUAAGUUUCUGUGUUACUCUGCUGUAGCUUCUUCAUGACUGUUCCCCUCGCUUCCUGUCUGUGGCAAUGUUCCCAGAUCAGUACGAGCCUCUGUCUCUUCUCGAGGAAUCGCAGAAUCUGUCGACUCCACUUGCUUUUGCUGGCUAUCAUCAGGUUUGCUAUUUGAGGUGGAAGAAUCAGUUAAUUUGGGGUCUGUCUCAUCAUUGUCAUUUGAGGGAUUUAUUUUGUUCCCAGAGCCUGUAUCAGAAUUAGUAUCUGAUUUUUGGUUUACCUCAUUUUGAUCGUUCCCACCUCCUGUUGACUUCUCAGUUGCACCAGCUGUUACAGAGUUGCCAUUUUGGUCAACUGUAACAGAACCCUUUGAACUUGUUACUGAUUCUUCAUUUCCCGAGGAAUUCGAAUCGUUUUUCUCAGACUGCUGCUCAUUUGGAUCGUUCUGUGUGCCAUCUCCAACAGAAACAGCUUCCUUAAUUGAG
rnacentral:misc_RNA from 1 species